rnacentral:rRNA from 1 species
GCCCUUAAGUUUGAUCCUGGCUCAGGAUGAACGCUAGCUACAGGCUUAACACAUGCAAGUCGAGGGGCAUCAGGAAGAAAGCUUGCUUUCUUUGCUGGCGACCGGCGCACGGGUGAGUAACACGUAUCCAACUUGCCCUUUACUCGGGGAUAGCCUUUCGAAAGAAAGAUUAAUACCCGAUAGCAUAAUGAUUCCGCAUGGUUUCAUUAUUAAAGGAUUCCGGUAAAGGAUGGGGAUGCGUUCCAUUAGGUUGUUGGUGAGGUAACGGCCCACCAAGCCUUCGAUGGAUAGGGGUUCUGAGAGGAAGGUCCCCCACAUUGGAACUGAGACACGGUCCAAACUCCUACGGGAGGCAGCAGUGAGGAAUAUUGGUCAAUGGGCGCUAGCCUGAACCAGCCAAGUAGCGUGAAGGAUGAAGGCUCUAUGGGUCGUAAACUUCUUUUAUAAGGGAAUAAAGUGAGUCUCGUGAGACUUUUUGCAUGUACCUUAUGAAUAAGGACCGGCUAAUUCCGUGCCAGCAGCCGCGGUAAUACGGAAGGUCCGGGCGUUAUCCGGAUUUAUUGGGUUUAAAGGGAGCGUAGGCCGGAGAUUAAGCGUGUUGUGAAAUGUAGACGCUCAACGUCUGCACUGCAGCGCGAACUGGUUUCCUUGAGUACGCACAAAGUGGGCGGAAUUCGUGGUGUAGCGGUGAAAUGCUUAGAUAUCACGAAGAACUCCGAUUGCGAAGGCAGCUCACUGGAGCGCAACUGACGCUGAAGCUCGAAAGUGCGGGUAUCGAACAGGAUUAGAUACCCUGGUAGUCCGCACGGUAAACGAUGGAUGCCCGCUGUUGGUCUGAAUAGGUCAGCGGCCAAGCGAAAGCAUUAAGCAUCCCACCUGGGGAGUACGCCGGCAACGGUG